AACAAAUGACAUCAAAAUCACCGAAUCGUUUCUGUUUUGGAAGGAGAAUCAAAGCGAGCAGUACCAUGCCGUCAAACUGGACCUACUCUGGGACCCACAGGAGGAACCAACGCAUAAAACUUUCCAGAACUUCAUCCUUACUCUUGCUGACUGCUUAUGUUCAGCUUCCAGUAAAGUCGGCCCAGGCGAUACGGUUCCAAUCAAGGCAAAAAUGUAACCCGAUAAUUUCAGAGGACAAAUACAAGUUGAUG